AUGAGAUUCACUCAUUUUAAAAGAAGGCCAACUAUGGAUGCCAUCUCAGGACUGGUCUUCUUACACUAACCUUUGACCCCGCCGGGGCUCAUAUUCCUCUCAAAAGACCAAAUCACAGUAAACUUUUUCAUGCUACAUGAUUGGUUCUGUUUUGAUUAAUUUCCGUAUUUAUGUGAGAAUUCACACAAGAGAGUAAAAAACGUAUUCUUAACAUGAGAAAAAAAGUAGCAGGAAUAUGCGAUAAAACCAUUAUUAUCACAAACGUGUGUCGGAAGGCAUGUUUCCUUAUAUUGAAACUUUUUCCGGCGAUGCCCCAUGCCCCCAUAGCUUUCUUUGCAGAGCACCAGCGUGUGUAAGACAUAUUUGUUUUCAUUUAUAGGAAACGCUUAAAUUUCAAGCACAAUUUCACAUGGCAAAUGCAUAUAUACCAUGUUUGUGAUGAAAUAUCUUCAACUUGAAAAAUUUUGAAUGUAUCCUUUAAUUUGAAAUGCUGUUUUAGCAAUGUCUGUUUUGGCCUUCGCAUCCAUUCCCAUUCCUUGGGCCAAUAGAACAAGUACUUUUCUAAAGGUCGAUUUUGUACUAUCGCUGUAUGAGCGUACAUUUUAUUUGUAAUUGCAACUUCACUUUCGAGAUAAUAAUAAUAACUCUUUACAUUUAUGUCAAAGCGCUUUUCGUAGUAAAAGGGAAACCACUUCUAUCACCACUAAUGUGCAGCAUCCACCUGGAUGAUGCGACAGCGGCCAUUUUGAACCACUACACUCAUCACCCAUUAGGAAGUGAAGGGGUGAGAGAUAGCAAGCCAGUUACAGACAGGGGAUGAUAAGAGGGCUAGAAUGACUAGGCCUUGGUGCAGCACAUCGGGAUACACCCUACUCUUUACGAAGGAUGCCCAGGGAUCUUUUAUGACCACAGAGAGUCAGGACCUCAUUUUUAUAAGGACAGAUCUGAGGGUUUUGUUAGGAUUUGUUAGGGAAAAUACUCAAGAGUCCAGUAUGGAAACCUGUAUUGUGGUCUGCAUAUUGAUCUGGCAUAAUUUUACACCGGAUGUCCUUCCUGACGUAACCCUCCCCAUUUAUCCGAGCUUACGACCGGCACUGUGGCUGGGUUAAAACUCAAGAGUCACCAUUAAUAAUGAAAUUCAGGACGUCAUUUAUUACAGGAGGCUUGAAGGUUGUCAGCGCAGUGCACUCAAUCAGCUCGAAUAAUAAACCAAUGGCCUUAAAUAAAGUGGGUUCAUGUACAAAAUACAAUUUAAGCAGCAUUUUGGUUUGCACCAAUCAGAACGCCCAUAAAUGAUAUGCAGGGUGUGACAGUUUAAUUCCCGUAAUUCGUGUCGCCUGUGUGCCUCCAAUCUUGACAGAUGAAGCGGGGCUAAAAGUUGUAACUGGUGUUUCUUCAAACGAACACACGUUUAACACGGUGGUGAUGAAACGUGGCAUUUUCAAAACAAUACGGCAAAGUGUAUCGUGGAAAAAAAGGAAAAACGCAUGUCACGCUCGCAGUUUAAGACCACGCUCGUGUGAUUUUCUUUUCUGGCCAUGGUGAACUCGGUGUUUUGCAAUUUUGUGAUAAUCAAUUUUGUCACCUUGUCCUGUUACACCUGUUUCCCAGACAGUUCCCAAGGAUUAUGUUGAGCUCUUUUGUAAGUAAUUUUGGAAAAAAAGUUGAGAAACGCUGGAGUAAAUGUAAAUGGGGGAAAGACUUUGUUGUCUCCGUUCUCUGUGAAAACUUGAGAUGAGGAACACGUACCUAAAUGAUCAUUUUUUAGAUGGACUAUGUCUUUAAGUGAGCAUUGAAUGCUACAUUGUUCAUUUACAACAAUCACAGAAUUAAACUGGAGUGUACCUAGUGUGAAUCGGUAAAAUGUUCUGGUACUGGAAUUCAGUGGGAAUGGAGGUGGAGAGUCAAACUGUUUAGAAAAGCUCUCUUUGAAUUAUUAAAUGUGGCCGAAAGUGCAUUGAGCGAGUUAAAAUUCCAGCGAUCCCCGAUGAUAAUAAUGUGAAAAAGGGUAAAGUGUCGAGGUGUGGUGUUAUGAUGGGGUGGGAAAAUAGAAAAGCCGAGCAAAUCUGACGACAGUAACGCCGAUGUCACAUGAUAUGACUUCUAGUCGGGAUUGCAGCUGCACGUCAGUUUACGCGACUGAAAAUCCGCUCGACAUGACACAGUUGUGCCCGCCCCUUUUUGCGACAGCCAAUAGCGUGCUGCCUGCUGGAGCUAGUGCUGUAUGUAGGGUUAACAGUUACAGUGAGUUCAGCUGCCGUCUUGGCCAGUUUUCUUUCUUUAUUUCGAUUCUGUCGUGGUACGUAGAAUACAAAACAUUUGACAGCUUUACUUCUGUUAUUUUGUGAGGUCUAAAACACUCUUGUUUCUUUUUUUCUCAUCAUUACAGUAGAUGCAUUGUACUUCCGGAGGGGCAUUCUUUGGUUGUCAGCAUUCAUAUACACAGAUGAUUCAUAUACACUAUGACUGGAGACAAAAUCAGACGAGUUUGAUUUAGUCGGAGUGAGUUGCAUACUAGUUGGAGGGCAUGUCACACACCAUGACUGGAAACUGACUGCCUCCGAUUCGCUGAGAUUAUGUAAAUUAAUGAAGGCAAUGACUGAAAAGCCAAGUAGCCCUCACUGGGACAUGUGACAGGGCGGAGAUGGAGCUCAGGGGGCGGGAACGGAGCUUAAGGGGGUGUGGACAGACAAAGCUAAGAUUUUGUAAAUUAAUGAAGGUAAUGACUGAAAACUGCUGCAAAAGCCAAGUAGCCCUCGCUGUGGGACACAGGACAGGACAGAAACGGAGCUCAGGUGGGCGGGAACGGAGCUUGGGGAGGGGGGGUGUGGAUUUUCAUACCCGCCGAUGUAACGCUGUCCUCAUUUGCAUGGUUAGUUGUGGUUGGUUCGGAGUUAGCCACCCCAUCCCAUCCUGCUUACACAGAUUUUCUUCGUUUUCCUCUUAAAAUAAUUGGUUCAUAAAAUGCAGCACAAGCUCCAAAAUAGCCACCUAAAAAACAUCAGUUGCUUAGGCAUCAGUGUAAUUAAAUAUUUAAUGAUAAUUAAAUAUGAAUACAUUUCUCAAGUCACAUUUAUGAAUGAGUAUCUUUCUACUGUCAUCUGUUGAAAUGUACAUUGUGCUGUUAACUUGUCGUUACAUCAUUAUAGUUUGUGGGAUUUGAACUAAGGUAACUCCUAACUACCAUUUUUACUCCUGUACCACAAACCCUUGUGUAAGACGCGCACCCUAAUUUUUACAAAGAAAAUCGCAAAAACCGUUUUGCCCCGUGUACGAGGCGCGUUGUGAUUGUAUGGGAAACAUGUAGGGCAUGUUUUCCACAAAAUGCCCUUCUGUUUUUGUUGCAUGACAAAAGUUUUUCUUUCUUCCAUUGUGAGAGAGCGCGAGCGAGAGAGAGAGUGUGAACGAGAGAGAGCAUGAGCGAGCGAGAGAGAGAGAGAGCGUGAGCGAGCGAGAGAGAGAGAGCGUGAGCGAGAGAGAGAGCAUGAGCGAGAGAGAGAGCGUGAGCGAGCGACAGAGACAGCGAGAGAGUGUGAGCGAGAGAGAGAAAGAGAGAGCGAGAGAGAGAGAGAGACAGAGAGCGUGAGUGAGCGACAGACAGCGAGAGAGUGUGAGCGAGCGAGAGAGAGAGAGCGUGAGUGAGCGAGAGAGAGAGAGAGAGAGAGAGCCCAAGCAGAAGAAGUAAACAUUACAGAAAAAAAUUUCCUCGUUUAUGACGCGCACCUGAUUUUCUAAUACUAAUUUUCGGGAAAAAAUGUGCGCAUGGUACACGCAUAAAUACGGUAAUGAUACUUUAUUUCACAUAAGUUAUGGUUCUUUGAUGUCGACUUUCUGUAUGUGAAGGCUUGGACUGUUACACAUUCAUAUUUUCAAGAUGCACUUCCAUAUUAUUGUGUAUUAAUGUUGUGGCUAUGGCCAAAGAUUAAGAAACCACGUACUUCGUUGAGACUAAUGUAAAGGAAUUGGACUGACUGUGUUUUAUUCACAAACCCCAUCCCGGUCCACCACCCCCCACCCCACCAACUCCAUCCCAGCCACAUUACGCAACUCGCAAAGGGGGACCCCCCCCUCUCAGAAAAGCCGUCUAAUGAGACACAGCUUUAUGCGGAUCUGGCUUGUUCAGUUAUGUUGUGCAUGCAGGACAUGUAAAGAUUUGUCAAGUGAAUGAAUAAAUAAGAUAUUAAAAGAUAUUAAAAGUUGGGACGCCAGCAGGGUGGUCCCGUUGAAUUCCUCUAAAUGCAAACAAAAGCAGCGAAUGAUGGCGUGAUUUCAAUACUGAUCUCCAAAAGGAAAGAGCCUGAGAGCUACUGAUCUUCUUGAUCAGGAUGGCGGCCUGUCCUGUGGUCAGCUCAGUCCAUCAAUAGACCCCCUUUUUUGAGCUUUUGGCCAAAAUGGGGUGGAGUCAGUUGCCCUUUUCUCGAAGCUAUGGAGAAAAAAGGAGACGACACGAACACAAUUAACGAUGGCGCCCCCUCUCUCCCUGGGGUGGUUAUGACAGACCUCUCUGAUGAGCUCAGAAGAUGCACCUCCAGGAAUUAGGAUUUUUGCAAAGUAGUCCAUUUAAAUCCAAAAUGUUUUUGAAAAAGCAGAUUGUGUGGUUGUCCUAUCCAAAGGAUUUCCAUUGUUUUUCUCCUUGGUUUGACUUCUCUGGUUCCUUUCUGAUUUGCUUUGCAACGCCUGUCUGCUCCAUUACCAUCAUUCAAACUGAAAUAGUGUAGACGUCAUCAUUCAAAAGCCUUUGGUAUGUAACCAGAAAACCCUCAGAAUAACGUCGCUUGUUUAAGUUCCACAGAUUUACUUUAUUUUUGUAAAGAAGAACCGGACAGCUUUGCUUCAUACAACUGAGAGCUGCUAUCUGGAUGAAUGGUCCACAGUCCCUGGAGGUCGAUCUCUUGCUGGGUGAUUUUAGCCUCUUGCCUCCUUUUUUUGUGUGUAUCUGCAUCACAGGAUGUUGCUAUUAAGGAGAUAAUGAAGUUGCAACAUUCUGUGCCCUACAAGAUUUGAAGUAUUAACCUUGUACAGAAAUCAUUUAUUCCAAAGAAUAAAGAGGAUAAUUUGA